GGAAGUAAAAGUCGUAACAAGGUCUCCGUUGGUGAACCAGCGGAGGGAUCAUUGCUGGAACGCGCCCCAGGCGCACCCAGAAACCCUUUGUGAACUCAUACCUUACUGUUGCCUCGGCGCAGGCCGGCCCCCUCGGGGCCCCCCGGAGACGGGGAGCAGGCCCGCCGGCGGCCAAGUCAACUCUUGUUUUUACACUGAAACUCUGAGGACAAAUAAUAAAUGAAUCAAAACUUUCAACAACGGAUCUCUUGGUUCUGGCAUCGAUGAAGAACGCAGCGAAAUGCGAUAAGUAAUGUGAAUUGCAGAAUUCAGUGAAUCAUCGAAUCUUUGAACGCACAUUGCGCCCUCUGGUAUUCCGGAGGGCAUGCCUGUUCGAGCGUCAUUUCAACCCUCAAGCCUGGCUUGGUGAUGGGGCACUGCUUUCUCACGGGAGCAGGCCCUGAAAUUCAGUGGCGAGCUCGCCAGGACCCCGAGCGCAGUAGUUAAACCCUCGCUCUGGAAGGCCCUGGCGGUGCCCUGCCGUUAAACCCCCAACUCUUGAAAAUUUGACCUCGGAUCAGGUAGGAAUACCCGCUGAACUUAAGCAUAUCAAUAAGCGGAGGA
rnacentral:rRNA from 1 species